UUUAUUCUCGUUUGACUUGUCAUUCAGCAAAGUCUCAUUUGUUUACUGUAUCUGUCCCUGCAUGCUCUAAAAACUUUUAAUUGUCUAGUUUUUUUCCCUGCACUUCCACCCUUUGGAACUCUCUACCAUCUUCUUGUUUUCCUGUCUCAUACAACCUACAACAUCAAGUUUUCUGUCAAGCAUUUCUUUGCUCUAUAGCUUUUUCUUUUUUUUUUGUUUAAAGUAAAUCCUAAGUUAAUAUUGGUUCCUUUCAACCUUGUUGGGAGAAAAUCAAUUUGAUUAGAAAUUACAUCUAAAAGAGUUACAGUCUUGGGAAAAAGGAAAAUAAUAAAGAACAGAAAAAAAGGUGAUGGAAUGAAGAGGUGCUAAGGGGAAACACAUAAAAGAAUUGUCAAAGUAUUCAAACCUGAUUUUACAACAAAUAGGUGAAUUGAUGAGUAUGUAUACUAGGGUGGAGUGAUUUUGGAAUCAAAACUAUAGAAACCCUGGAGUAAAUAGAUAAUCAAAAAAUAAUAAUAAAAUGUAUAACAUGUACUUGCUAAUAAUGCCUGGAAAAUGGCUGGUUUACAAAAAUGUACAUAUAUUAAGACAUAAUCUAUUUUCGAGGAAAACCGCCAUUUUUUGAUUUUUUUUCAAAGUGGGCAUGCGCAUUGCGCUUUGUUUUGUUAUUUUUAGAUAUUUUUUAAGUUAUAAUUUAUAAAUAGCAAAAUAAUUUAUAGAUAAAAUGCCUAAGAGCAAAUCCAGGAAAACUCAUUUAAAAAUAGUCUGAAAUACGGAGGUCUCCCAUUAGAAAUGCCUUCAGCUGAUUUUCCAAUAUUUUGUCAAGUAAUUCAGUUUUUUUAUUUCUCUGAAAAUAGUAACCAAAAUAUUUCAAGACAGAAUCUACUAGAAGAGGUUGAGAAUUCUCUUAGGACUUUGUGGAGUAAAGUAAACCCAUGUCUUCCUUUUUUUUUUUUUUAUUUGUUAUUUUAGGUGCCCCAAGAAGUCCUAACAGUCUUGUCACAGAGCACCACGGAAGUGCAUUUAACCAGAAAGUUCAUGCCUCCUUCCUUACCGUGACGCAAAAUAUUUCCAAAGCUCGUUUCAAACCUGGGUCUCCUGCUUUAAAAGCAAGCGCUCUAACCACUGCGCCACGGCCGCAGUGGUUAGAGCGCUUCUUCUACUUCAGAGAAAUUCAAUCUUAAGAAAAUUAAGAAAUCUUUUUGAAAGAGUACCGAGGACGUUUUAAAUCUAAAAGUAAGGAGUAUCAAGAUUUGAUUUUAGAUAAACUCUUUGAUAUUUUAUCAUGUACUUGUGAAUUAGCAACUGUUUUAUGUAAUGACAGAGAUGUUAAGUGUAGCAUCAUUAAUUGUCAAGUAGAGCACAUCUGGUGUCUUUGUAAAACUAGAAAGGUCCCUUCUGAAGACAGGGCAUAUAAUCGUGACCAGAGAAACAAGAUUGGUCCUAAAGGUAUUUAUCAGCUAGGAAAGGCUGAUUUAAAAUCUGAUACAUUUACUCUGGAAAGGUUAGUUCAAGUAGAGCUUACAGAUCAUGUUGAAAUGCCUUAUGCCCAUAACUCAUUAUUGAUUCUGGUCACAAAUCUGAAGAUAUCUGGUCACAAAUCUGGUCACAAAUCUGAAGUUUCAGCAUCCGAUCCAGAUGUUUUGGUAUGAUGUCUCAUCUUGUGCUGCAGCUGCACUAGCAAAUGCUCUUCUAAAUUAAGAAAUCAUUAAACAUUUUGACAUUAAAUUUUGACAUUUUAAACAUUAAACAAUUGAGAGAGAGAAGAAGAAAAUAAUGUCAAGAUAUGGUGAUCAACAUGAUAAUAAUUUAAGUAACUUGGUGUGUUAGGGUAUUGAUGGUAAAGAUGUUAAGAAUGUUCUUCAGUUUAAGGAUGUCGUUGAAAAUGGAGAAACUACCUUGUCGAGAGUUACUGAAAAAGAUCAUCAUUUAACUUUUACUAAUGAAAAUAGUUUUAAAAAUGGUUCAUAUCUCUCAUAAAAAUCUCCCGUCAAAUGGUGCAACUGGUUUGCUUCAAAGAGUAAUUGUAUAUAAUGUUUUGAAAGAGUAUGAUAGUUUAAAUUCAGUACAAGUCCUUCUUCUUGAUAAGACAAAUGUCAAUACAGGUUUCAAAACUGGAGUUGUUGCAUGUUUAAAAAAGAAAUUAGAAAGAAAAAUACACCUUAUCAGAUGUACUUUGUACAUGUACAUCGGAUCGCAAUGAACUUCUGUUUCGAAAAGUAUUCAAAAUAGUUGAUGGCAGUUCAAAGAGCCCAAAUAAUUUUUUUAGGACCUAUUGUAAGGCAAGUUUCUAUAGAUUUCCAUCUAAACCCACAAGUGAAGUUUACCAAAAUUGAUACUCCAGUAGAGAUACUAAAUAUUCCUAUUGAAGUGAUAAUGAUUUAACCACGAUCAAAGACUAUUAUUUGAAUAUUAUCUUGGAAUUUCUAAAGGAUUUCUCAACACUAUAUUUUUUAGAAGAAAAAAUGGUCUACUAAACAACGCAAGAUGGUUGACUUAAGCAAUUCAAAUCAUGGCUUUGUAUACUCAUACUGAAGCACCAAGUCUAGAUCAUGUAAGGCUUGUGAAUUUUAUUGUACAAGUGUAUGCAUACACUUGGUUUAUUAUCAAAAGGUCUUCUAAAUUUAUGGAUUCUGCAAGUAUAUUCUUUAAAAUGACAAAACAGAUAAAGAAGCAAGAUGAAGAAAUACAAAACAUUUGUUUUAAAAAUGUAAAAAAAAAUUCAUAUUGUCUAUUGCCUGAGAACUUUUUAUAUUGUAUGCUUAGGGAUGAAGAUUCUAACAUAAGGGAACAGGCAUAACUAGUCAUUAAAAAACUCAGGACAAGUAAAGAUAAAGAGUGCCGUGUUACAAAUAUUGCUAAUGUUGACAUAAACUUUCAAGCAACUUCUUGGAUAGAAUUAAUUGACUUUAAGAAAAUCAGUGAACCGGCAUCAACAAUAUGGUUGAAGGAUGAUGAAAUCAAUGCUCUAAUUGCAAUUAAAGAAGUUCCGAACUUACCUGAAUUUUCUUCUCAUGCGCAGAGCGUAGAACGGGCUAUCAAAUUAGUUACAGAGGCUAGUCACCAAGUAUAUGGCAGGGUAGCUCAUCAUAAAUAUAUUUUAACUAAACUAAAAUCCAGGGAAAUUCGACCAUAUUUUGAAACUAAAAACGACUUUGCGUUUUUUUUUUUUUAAAUAAAUUAUGUUAUGCAUUUGAUGUUAAUAAAACAUCUUUAUAUAAAUGUACUUACUUUUUUCAAUGCAAGCAAUAAAAUAGUGUGUUUAGGAUUUAGGACCAAUGCAGUAGUAGGGUAGUGGUAAAGUGUUUGACUCACAUUUGCAAGGUAUUUAUUUUGGAAUUAUUUUGCAUAUAUCCAAGCCUUUGGAUAUAGAAAUCUUGAUAAACACUUAUAUUCAUCAAUUUCAGUGUUUAUAGUGUUAAAAACAAUAAAAAAAAAAACAAUUUAAUAACAUGUAUGGAUUUUGGUGAUGGUUAUCCAUAGCUAUUUUUAUUACCCAUUUAUUAAGUUGAUCACUGUUUUUGAAUAAAAAAUUAAGCACUUUAAGGUCAUAGAAAUAAUUUUAGAAGGUUUUUCCAAAUAGUGUAAUGCUUCAGCCUUAUAUGAAUUCACGAUUGGCUAGAUAUAUUAUACCAAAAGGGUACAUGUAUCAAUUAUGUUUAAAGUAUUUAGUCAAAAUUAAAUUGUUCAAUUUACUAAUCUUUUAUUCAUAUCUGGUAAUUAUUAAUUACUUACAUCUUGGAUAAUCUUGAGGUCAAAAUUACUCAAGCUGUUUGUAAGCACUUUUAAGACCUAUAUAACUAUAAGUACUUAAUCCUUAAGUAUAUAAUUAUAUAAAGUUUUCAACUAAUUGUACCUUAAAAAACUAAA